rnacentral:lncRNA from 1 species
AUACGGAUGCUCUUCGACUGCUUGUCAAAGUCCUUUUUGUCCCAGCCGGUAGGUCUCUAGACGUUACAGAGAACCCCGAACAACCCAAACUAUUAAUCUUCAAUACCGCUUUGUACUUACGAUCUUGUAUCCACUGACUGUCUUGUUAGAUUAACCCAAUAAAUUUCAUUCACUCCGCAUACUCAAUCCUAUAGACACCCUUUUAAUCCUUCAAUCACAGACAUAACUCGAUUUCACAAAACAGUCAAGAGUAUUCAAACCCACUUCAUUAAAAAUCCCGAUUCACCAUUACAAUACUGACUUCAGCAGCGAUUGCCUCAGUCUUCUCAAAACUCUACGAAGAAGAAAAAUCCAAAUUCUAUGUCUUUUCUUCCCCGACCCGAAGCAUGAAGCUCCU